CCAAUAGCGUAUAUUAAAGUUGUUGCAGUUAAAAAGCUCGUAGUUGAAUUUCGGGAUCAAUAUAUCGGUCGUGCCAUUGGUACGUACUGGUAUCAUUGGUUUCUCCUUUCUGACGAACCAUGAUGUCAUUAAUUUGGUGUUAUGGGAAGUUAGGACUGUUACUUUGACAAAAUUAGAGUGUUUAAAGCAGGCUUUAGCUUGAAUACAUUAGCAUGGAAUAAUGAAAUAGGACGUUCGAACCUAUUUUGUUGGUUUCUAGGAUCAACGUAAUGAUUAAUAGGGAUAGUUGGGGGCAUUAGUAUUCAAUUGUCAGAGGUGAAAUUCUUGGAUUUAUUGAAGACUAACUACUGCGAAAGCAUUUGCCAAGGAUGUUUUCAUUAAUCAAGAACGAAAGUUAGGGGAUCGAAGACGAUCAGAUACCGUCGUAGUCUUAACCAUAAACUAUGCCGACUAGGGAUCGGAUGAUGUUAAUUUUUUAAUGACUCAUUCGGCGCCUUACG
rnacentral:rRNA from 1 species